UCCGAUUGUAGGCGACGGAGCACAAAGC
rnacentral:sRNA from 1 species